rnacentral:rRNA from 1 species
GAUGAACGCUGGCGGCGUGCCUAAUACAUGCAAGUCGAGCGAACGGACGAGAAGCUUGCUUCUCUGAUGUUAGCGGCGGACGGGUGAGUAACACGUGGAUAACCUACCUAUAAGACUGGGAUAACUUCGGGAAACCGGAGCUAAUACCGGAUAAUAUUUUGAACCGCAUGGUUCAAAAGUGAAAGACGGUCUUGCUGUCACUUAUAGAUGGAUCCGCGCUGCAUUAGCUAGUUGGUAAGGUAACGGCUUACCAAGGCGACGAUGCAUAGCCGACCUGAGAGGGUGAUCGGCCACACUGGAACUGAGACACGGUCCAGACUCCCACGGGAGGCAGCAGUAGGGAAUCUUCCGCAAUGGGCGAAAGCCUGAUGGAGCAACGCCGCGUGAGUGAUGAAGGUCUUCGGAUCGUAAAACUCUGUUAUUAGGGAAGAACAUAUGUGUAAGUAACUGUGCACAUCUUGACGGUACCUAAUCAGAAAGCCACGGCUAACUACGUGCCAGCAGCCGCGGUAAUACGUAGGUGGCAAGCGUUAUCCGGGAUUAUUGGGCGUAAAGCGCGCGUAAGCCGGUUUUUUAGUCUGAUGUGAAAGCCCACGGCUCAACCGUGGAGGGUCAUUGGAAACUGGAAAACUUGAGUGCAGAAGAGGAAAGUGGAAUUCCAUGUGUAGCGGUGAAAUGCGCAGAGAUAUGGAGGAACACCAGUGGCGAAGGCGACUUUCUGGUCUGUAACUGACGCUGAUGUGCGAAAGCGUGGGGAUCAAACAGGAUUAGAUACCCUGGUAGUCCACGCCGUAAACGAUGAGUGCUAAGUGUUAGGGGGUUUCCGCCCCUUAGUGCUGCAGCUAACGCAUUAAGCACUCCGCCUGGGGAGUACGACCGCAAGGUUGAAACUCAAAGGAAUUGACGGGGACCCGCACAAGCGGUGGAGCAUGUGGUUUAAUUCGAAGCAACGCGAAGAACCUUACCAAAUCUUGACAUCCUUUGACAACUCUAGAGAUAGAGCCUUCCCCUUCGGGGGGGCAAAGUGACAGGUGGUGCAUGGUUGUCGUCAGCUCGUGUCGUGAGAUGUUGGGUUAAGUCCCGCAACGAGCGCAACCCUUAAGCUUAGUUGCCAUCAUUAAGUUGGGCACUCUAAGUUGACUGCCGGUGACAAACCGGAGGAAGGUGGGGAUGACGUCAAAUCAUCAUGCCCCUUAUGAUUUGGGCUACACACGUGCUACAAUGGACAAUACAAAGGGCAGCGAAACCGCGAGGUCAAGCAAAUCCCAUAAAGUUGUUCUCAGUUCGGAUUGUAGUCUGCAACUCGACUACAUGAAGCUGGAAUCGCUAGUAAUCGUAGAUCAGCAUGCUACGGUGAAUACGUUCCCGGGUCU